UCAGUAACCUCUGGCAGGUCCUGGUGUUGUACAGAAAAACCAGGCCUGUCUUCUGCAGAGGCUUUAG